rnacentral:sRNA from 1 species
UAGAUAACUUCAAUUUUCAAAUAACAAAUACAAAUCAUUUUUCUUAGGAUUUGUUUAGUAAAAUAAGAAUAUUUCUUGUACAUUUCAAUCAUAAGUAGAUAUGGCUAAAUUUAACUCUCAGAUUACUACGCUAUUCAUUGUUGUAGCUUUGGUGUGUGCAUUUGUUCCAGCUUUCUCAGUCGAAGAAGCUGAAGCAAAUUUAUUGUGGAAUACUUGUCUUGUUAAAAUCACUCCUAAGUGUGCGUUAGAUAUAAUUGUUGUUGUCUUCGAAAAUGGAACAAUGCCUGAUCCUUGUUGCAACGAUCUCGUCAAAGAAGGAAAAGUGUGUCACGAUACGCUUAUUAAAUAUAUUGCAGAUAAACCCAUGUUAAUUGCUCACGAAACAGAAUACUUGAAGAAGAGUGAUGACUUGUGGAAACAUUGUGUCUCAAUCUCCAAAAGUGCUUGAAAUGUAUAUUGCGUGUACUAUUUUCACCCAAUAAAUUGAUUGUUUUCUGUUGUUAUAGUUUUCUUCACACAAGCCUUUAUAUUUUAACUUAACAACAAUUUUAACCAAAGCGAAUUUCUUUCUUAAAAAGUAUAACUUCAAUUUAUGAUUAUCUAUUUGAACUCGAAACAAAAUUUCUUAUAAGAGUCA